AGCAAUCCUGGGUGAUAACCGUUUAAACCAUUAAAAUAGUUUUUAUUAACUUUCAACCUACCCGUUUAAACUAUUUUCCUUUCUUAAAUCUUAGGUUUUGAUAUUUAUAAUUGUUUGAGAUAAAACACAACCUGAAUUGACCCAUUCAUAACUAGAUAUAUUUUCAUUGUCGGGUCUGCUUGAUAUGCGACGGAAAUGAGUUUUUGAUGACGAGAGUGUGAAUUCAUUAGAAGAAACUAAGAAGCUGGCCAUAUCCGGCGGAUUGGACAGCGUUGUUCUCGAAGCAAAUGGUAUAUUCAGAAACCCUACAUCAGUAAGAGAGAUUAAAGAAUCAAAUCUUUUCCUCCUUACUUAUGGUAAAUUAAACAGUGUCCCCGAAGCGAUACACGCUCAAUAUCUUAUGGGCGUAAUCGUCGAUUUAGUACAAGAAAUCACAAAUGCAGUUGCGUAUUUCAAAAACGAAGAUGAAGGAGCGGAGGUGAAAGAGAACACAAACAAGAUUGAACCGUCUUUUUUGCUGAAUUUGGUAUCACAAGUGAUGCAGCAUUGAAGUUCGGUACAUUAGAGUGGGGUCGCGUCGGGUCAUUUGUUUAUUAAAUGUAUCCCGUGUGGGAAUUAAGUUUGGUUAGGAUGAUAAGUAGUGGAGUUCUGUUUUUCUUUAAUUUCUUGAUCACUCAAAUGAAGCUGGUUAAAUUUUUCGCAUUUUUAUGUCAUUGAAUGACACUAUUUACUUAAGUUGUUAUUGUUAA